AUGAACGCUGGCGGCGUGCCUCAUCCCUGCCAGUCGCGCGAACAGACGAGGAGCUUGCUCCUCUGACGUUAGCGGCGGACGGGUGAGUAACACGUGGAUAACCUACCUAUAAGACUGGGAUAACUUCGGGAAACCGGAGCUAAUACCGGAUAAUAUAUUUAACCGCAUGGUUCAAUAGUGAAAGACGGUUUUGCUGUCACUUAUAGAUGGAUCCGCGCCGCCUUAGCUAGUUGGUAAGGUAACGGCUUGCCAAGGCAACGAUGCGUAGCCGACCUGAGAGGGUGAUCGGCCACACUGGAACUGAGACACGGUCCAGACUCCUACGGGAGGCAGCAGUAGGGAAUCUUCCGCAAUGGGCGAAAGCCUGACGGAGCAACGCCGCGUGAGUGAUGAAGGUCUUCGGAUCGUAAAACUCUGUUAUUAGGGAAGAACAAAUGUGUAAGUAACUAUGCACGUCUUGACGGUACCUAAUCAGAAAGCCACGGCUAACUACGUG
rnacentral:rRNA from 1 species